rnacentral:rRNA from 1 species
UACAGAGGGGGCGAGCGUUAUUCGGAAUUAUUGGGCGUAAAGGGCGCGUAGGCGGCUGGGCAAGUCCAAGGUGAAAUCCCUCGGCUCAACCGAGGAACUGCCUUGGAAACUGCCCGGCUUGAGGCCGGGAGAGGGUAGUGGAAUUCCCAGUGUAGCGGUGAAAUGCGUAGAUAUUGGGAGGAACACCGGUGGCGAAGGCGGCUACCUGGACCGGUUCUGACGCUGAGGCGCGAAAGCGUGGGGAGCAAACAGG